GAUCAACGCUGGCGGCGUGCCUAACACAUGCAAGUCGCACGAGAAAGGGACUUCGGUCCUGAGUAAAGUGGCGCACGGGUGAGUAACACGUGACUAAUCUACCUCCGAGUGGGGAAUAACUGAGGGAAACCUUAGCUAAUACCGCAUAACACUUACGAGUCAAAGCAGCAAUGCGCUUGGAGAGGAGGUCGCGGCAGAUUAGCUAGUUGGCGGGGUAAUGGCCCACCAAGGCGAUGAUCUGUAUCCGGCCUGAGAGGGCGCACGGACACACUGGAACUGAAACACGGUCCAGACUCCUACGGGAGGGCAGCAGUGGGGAAGUUUUGUCGCAAUGGGCGGAAAGCCUGACGCAGCGACGCCGCGUGAGGGAAGAA
rnacentral:rRNA from 1 species